rnacentral:lncRNA from 1 species
ACUACUCAUCUCCUCAACAUUGAACUUCUUUGCAGAACAGAUGCUGACUCACAGACAUUGAAAAACUUAUGGUCUCUGGAGGAGACAGCUUGGGGGGUAGGGGGAUGUGCUUGGGUUGUGGGAUGGAAAUCCUGUGAAAUUGGAUUGUUAUGAUCAUUAUAUAACUACAGAUGUGAUAAAUUCAUAUGAGUAAUACAAAACAUUUAAAAAUGCUCAGGAUGACAUUGGAUUUGAAGUGAUGACUGCAUCAAAAAUGAAAAAUGCAAAAACUUUUAAACUCACUCACACAUGCACAUAAACAGCAUUUUCUGCUCAUCCAGGAUUUAAUCCUGUGUUUAUUAUUCAAGCAAAUCACAAGUAAUAGCUCCUUAUCUAAUUUGAAAUUUUAGUUACGGCUAAUUUUAGAGGACACAGUAAUCCUUUUUUUAUCUUCUGGCCAUUAUGCCAAUUUUGUCAAUUCAUUGCCUAGUUUCAGCUCUGCAAUUGAGUGACCUCUCCCACAGUACAAUGUGUUUAAAUGGCACGUCACGGUAGACCGAGGGUUGUCAGUUGCUUACUAACUUUAAAAAUAGUUGGCAGCAAUUUGUUCCACUUUUAUAUCUUAACAUGUGAUUUUGCUUUGUGAAACACAAAAGAUUAAUCUUAUAUUUAGGAACCAUUUGGUAGGGAAGCUGGUUGAGUAAAAUUUAAUUGAUUUUUUCUCCUCCUGCAGCUCUUGAAGAAAUAGAAUGUGAACCCAGCACCCAUCCUUUUGGAAAAGGCGCUUUCACUGGCUUAGACUGUUCCACUCAUAACCCUCAGUUAGCCCUGAAUCUUCUUUCUCUCACUCCCAAAGUCAAAUCUCGCCAUGUGGCACCUACUUUUCUGCCACACUAUCUCUCAAUCUGUCACCUUCUGUCUAUCACUAGAGCCAAUGACUUUUUCGCAUCACCUAAGAGGCUGGCGAUCUUGUCCUAAUUUAUCUUUUCAACCUCAUUUCCUGCUUCUCCCUUUCCACACACACACACACACACACACACACACACACACACACACGAGUCUCCAGUGACAUCCCUAUAUUUCUGAAGAUGCUCUGCACUGUCAUGUCUUCGUGCCUCCUGGUCCAUGCUCUCUCCUCUGCCCAGAAGUUCUUCUUGGGUUUCUGCUGACCCCUUUGACUCAUCCUUUAAGGACAGAUUCAGAGACCACC